GACGAACGCUGGCGGCGUGCUUAACACAUGCAAGUCGAGCGGUAAGGCCCUUUCGGGGGUACGACGAGCGGCGAACGGGUGAGUAACACGUGGGUGACCUGCCCUCCAGCUCUGGGAGUAAGCCUGGGAAACUAGGGUCGUAAUACUGGAUAUGACUCCACGGUGCAUGUCGUGGGGUGGAAAGCCUUGUGCGGCUGAGGAUGGGCCCGCGGCCUAUCAGCUUGUUGGUGGGGUAAUGGCCUACCAAGGCGACGACGGGUAGCCGGCCUGAGAGGGCGACCGGCCACACUGGGACUGAGACACGGCCCAGACUCCUACGGGAGGCAGCAGUGGGGAAUAUUGCACAAUGGGCGAAAGCCUGAUGCAGCGACGCCGCGUGAGGGAUGACGGCCUCGGUGUAA
rnacentral:rRNA from 1 species